AUUGAACGCUGGCGGCAGGCCUAACACAUGCAAGUCGAGCGGAUGAAGGGAGCUUGCUCCUGGAUUCAGCGGCGGACGGGUGAGUAAUGCCUAGGAAUCUGCCUGGUAGUGGGGGAUAACGUCCGGAAACGGGCGCUAAUACCGCAUACGUCCUGAGGGAGAAAGUGGGGGAUCUUCGGACCUCACGCUAACAGAUGAGCCUAGGUCGGAUUAGCUAGUUGGUGGGGUAAAGGCCUACCAAGGCGACGAUCCGUAACUGGUCUGAGAGGAUGAUCAGUCACACUGGAACUGAGACACGGUCCAGACUCCUACGGGAGGCAGCAGUGGGGAAUAUUGGACAAUGGGCGAAAGCCUGAUCCAGCCAUGCCGCGUGUGUGAAGAAGGUCUUCGGAUUGUAAAGCACUUUAAGUUGGGAGGAAGGGCAGUAAGUUAAUACCUGGCUGUUUUGACGUUACCAACAGAAUAAGCACCGGCUAACUGCGU
rnacentral:rRNA from 1 species